rnacentral:rRNA from 1 species
UACGAAGGGGGCUAGCGUUGUUCGGAAUCACUGGGCGUAAAGCGCACGCAGGCGGAUCGAUAAGUCGGGGGUGAAAGCCCGGGGCUCAACCUCGGAAUUGCCUUCGAUACUGUCGGUCUCGAGUCCGGGAGAGGUGAGUGGAAGUCCUAGUGUAGAGGUGAAAUUCGUAGAUAUUAGGAAGAACACCAGUGGCGAAGGCGGCUCACUGGACCGGUACUGACGCUCAGGCGCGACAGCGUGGGGAGCGAACCGG